rnacentral:hammerhead_ribozyme from 1 species
AUCCAGCUGACAAGUUCCAGAUGGGACGAAACGCGCAUCCUGGAU